GGAAUAUUGGUCAAUGGGCGAGAGCCUGAACCAGCCAAGUAGCGUGCAGGAUGACGGCCCUAUGGGUUGUAAACUGCUUUUAUACGGGGAUAAAGUGAGGGACGUGUCCCUUAUUGUAGGUACCGUAUGAAUAAGGACCGGCUAAUUCCGUGCCAGCAGCCGCGGUAAUACGGAAGGUCCGGGCGUUAUCCGGAUUUAUUGGGUUUAAAGGGAGCGCAGGCCGACUGGUAAGCGUGACUUGAAAUGUAGCCGCUCAACGGCUGAACUGCGUCGCGAACUGGCUUUCUUGAGUGAGUACGACGCUGGCGGAAUUCGUGGUGUAGCGGUGAAAUGCUUAGAUAUCACGAAGAACUCCGAUUGCGAAGGCAGCCUACAAGGCCUUUACUGACGCUAAAGCUCGAAGGUGCGGGUAUCGAACA
rnacentral:rRNA from 1 species